rnacentral:snRNA from 1 species
CUUGCAGUUUGCCUUUUGGCUUAGAUCAAGUGUAGUAUCUGUUCUUUUCAGUUUAAUCUCUGAAGUAAGUACAUGCCUCCGCUGCCUUUCUUCUCCUGGCAUUUGCUGACUUCUCCAGACGUCACUACGGUGACUUCAAGAUUAUUCUCAUUUUUGAAACCAGCCCUUGGCUCCCUGAGCUUGCUCACAGUCAUGGGCACAGUGUCGUUCCUGUUGCACUACCUGGAAUGUACGCGACCUUUU